UUGCGAGUUGGGAGUCGCGAGCGCGAUCGGAAUGACCCAAGCCAAGCCGAACGAAAAUCCGGAAUUCUGUUCGAGGACGAGGAGCGAAAGCAUCGGCUGAUCGCUGGAGCGAUCGUCUAACUGUAAAUAUCAAGCGGCUUCCUCCUCGGUUUGGCUUCUGAUAGAUCAUUAUACUCCUAGCAUCCGUUCAAUAUCGAACGACCGUCUCGCAGCGAUCGAAUUUUUGUCUGGCAUAUUUCAAUCCGUCGCGCCGCUCGCACGAUUUCACGUUUCGAGGCGGCUUCACAAAACCAUUAGCCAACUUAAUCUUCUUUAUCCGUUUCCGACACCUGUUUACUUCGGUCUCGAGCAGCCGAAGUAGCUGUACUAUCGCGGAGGUUUUGUUUUGGUCGUUUGCCGAUGAACCGAGUUCUCUUUACUCUUCGUGUUUCGAACGAUUGCGAUGAUGGAAUGGCGUCGAUGAAAAUGAUCGAGGGUAAUGAGAGUAGAAGUGGAGCGGCAGUGUUUAUUACAUGUCGCAAAAAAGAAUGCGGCUGUUGGAGAAUCUGUGUUCCAUAAUCGAGCAUGUAAAGUAGAUUAGACAUGUGGUGGGCUCGGAAGCCAAUCGGGUGUGACGUACGAAUCGGAUACUGCUUUAGCAAACUGAUAAAGAAUUUCUCGAACUGCAAACGAUAAUUGGACUUACAACAAUCGAUUCCGGGGCUCUUCGUAUGUCUUUUCGAUUUUCUUUUAAGAAUUGUAACAUUACAGAGUUAAAUAUGUAAAUUUCAUUAUAAUAAAGUUUUUCCGAAUUCCA